ACACUCCUGCGGGAGGCAGCAGUGGGGAAUUUUGGACAAUGGGCGAAAGCCUGAUCCAGCAAUGCCGCGUGAGUGAAGAAGGCCUUCGGGUUGUAAAGCUCUUUUGUCAGGGAAGAAACGGUGAAAGCUAAUAUCUUUUGCUAAUGACGGUACCUGAAGAAUAAGCACCGGCUAACUACGUGCCAGCAGCCGCGGUAAUACGUAGGGUGCAAGCGUUAAUCGGAAUUACUGGGCGUAAAGCGUGCGCAGGCGGUUUUGUAAGUCUGAUGUGAAAUCCCCGGGCUCAACCUGGGAAUUGCAUUGGAGACUGCAAGGCUAGAAUCUGGCAGAGGGAGGUAGAAUUCCACGUGUAGCAGUGAAAUGCGUAGAUAUGUGGAGGAACACCGAUGGCGAAGGCAGCCCCCUGGGUCAAGAUUGACGCUCAUGCACGAAAGCGUGGGGAGCAAACAGGAUUAGAAACCCGAGUAGUCC
rnacentral:rRNA from 1 species